GAGAGCCGUAUGCGGGGAAACUUGCACGUACGGUUCGGAGGAGAGUUGUUGGUACCUAAGGCCUUACGCUACGGGCUGGCUACUUAUCCUAC
rnacentral:ncRNA from 1 species